rnacentral:lncRNA from 1 species
UGAAGACAGCCCAGUAAGUUGCCUUGAGCAGAUAUAAAUCUCAGCUUUCAACUUUUGAUAUUGAACACCUGAGUGGGAAUCUCAGAGACUUGUUCAAAACCCAGCAAACUGGGUAUUAUCUCCAGAAAGGAAGCAAAAUUUUCACUUAUAUCAGAACAUCAGCAAUGAAACAUCAGCCAAGUUAGAGACUCUUUUGCCUGAAGACUACAGUUUCCUAAGGGUGAGAAGGAUAGCCAGUUCUGAAUGAGUCAGUGUUCUGAAUGAGUCAAUGACCCCAUAUCUCUAAGUCACAUCAUGCUGAGGGACAGAACCUCUGCAGUGGUAAGGUCUCUAUUCAAAGGCAGGCUUGGGAAAUGGGGGCACACAGUACCUUUCUAGGAUUUCUCCUUGUCUUAUAUCCUUUGAUCUUUUAAAUAUUUGUGAUUAAACAAUGGUGAAUUGAUUGAACCUUAUUGAUGAAGUAAAAAAAAAUUAACUAGACUGUUGGAAGGUCAUGAAUUUUAAGCCAUAGAAACCAUUCUACUAAGGUCUGACAAUGUCUGCCCUCCUGCAAACAUAAUAAUAAUUGUUUUGUUAAUAAAUACUCAUAAAUAGGUAUUUCCAUGAAUUUUUCUGAUAUAUGAUAAAUUCAUUUGCCUGGAAGAGUAAAAUCAGUCCUGGUUGCGAAUAAGGUUUCUUACUUAUAAAAAUUAUUCUUAGGGGCUCUGUAUCAAUCUAGAGGGGUGGAAUGGGGUGGGAGAUGGGAGGGAGGUUCAAAAGGGAAGAGAUAUAUGUAUACCUAUGGCUGAUUCAUGUUGAGGUUUGACAGAAACAACAAAAUUUUGUAAAGCAAUUAUCCUUCAAUAAAAAA